rnacentral:rRNA from 1 species
CCUACGGGAGGCAGCAGUGAGGAAUAUUGGUCAAUGGACGAGAGUCUGAACCAGCCAAGUAGCGUGAAUGAUGACUGCCCUAUGGGUUGUAAACUUCUUUUAUAUGGGAAUAAAAUGUUCCACGUGUGGGAUUUUGUAUGUACCAUAUGAAUAAGGAUCGGCUAACUCCGUGCCAGCAGCCGCGGUAAUACGGAGGAUCCGAGCGUUAUCCGGAUUUAUUGGGUUUAAAGGGAGCGUAGGUGGAUUGUUAAGUCAGUUGUGAAAGUUUGCGGCUCAACCGUAAAAUUGCAGUUGAAACUGGCAGUCUUGAGUACAGUAGAGGUGGGCGGAAUUCGUGGUGUAGCGGUGAAAUGCUUAGAGAUCACGAAGAACUCCGAUUGCGAAGGCAGUUCACUGGACUGCAACUGACACUGAGGCUCGAAAGUGUGGGUAUCAAACAGGAUUAGAUACCCGGGUAGUC